AGUAUUUUAUAGUAUGUUAGUUUUUAACAUAGUAAGUGCUGUAAAAUAUACUUCUUUUGUAUUCAAUUAAUCCUUUUUAAUUUUUUUUGAAGGAUGAAAAGCUUCAAUGUGGAUUUCAGUAAAAUUGAAAGACUUUAAGCUAUUGUCAGCAUGCACAGUGCCUCUGAUUCUGUAGAACUUUAGUAAAUUAUGCAGAAGCAAAAUAUUCUCAUUGAUACUUGUACAGGAAGACUUAAUGAGGGACUGAACAAGGCAGGUAAGAUGAACAAGACAUGUAUAUACUUGGCCGUGCCUAUUCCAUAGUAAGUACUAUUUAAUAGUAUGCUUUUAAAUGAAAGUGGGUGUAUGUGAGCAACCCACGUACAGGUGGAGUACAUGUGAUGAUAUAUAGGAGUAUUUAAUUAGCUUCAAUUUUCUAGUGACAGAAAUUUGGUAAAGGUUCUAAAGGAUGUCAGUCCUGAAGCCAGGACAUACUUGUUUGAAAUGGAAACCUCAGUGGUGUAGCUGUGGCUGCUAACUUAGGGAUUUGAGCCAGUAUUUCCAGAGCUGUCCAAUACAUAGAGUACUUCUGUAUUGAGGUGACCUUCACCUCUAAGGACGGAUGGCCCACAUCCACAUCUCCAGGGAUGCUGACAGUUGGUUCUGUUCAUUUUGAUCUGUACCUCAUCCUCUUUUGACUCUCUAAGCUGUUUCUCUUCCUCACUUUCACAGCCUAUCCUUUUACUUACUUAUCUGCUGGAGUUUUCUGGUUGGGGAGGGAUGUGUUCUUACUGAGUCUGUUUCCAAGAUCCAGGACAGGUUGAGGUUUAUUUAAGUAAAAUGAUUUUUUAAAAAAGCAAGCCUGCUUAUAAUUAUAGUUUACAUUGUUGAGAGUAAAGGAGCAUUUUACACUCUUAUUUUAAAAGGGUGCUUUAUCCCACUGAAACCAAAAUGAUUUUGUCUACAGAUGCUGUCUUUUUAGAAAAUAUUAGAAAUGACUCCUCUUAUAAAGUCAGUUUUUGGACGAUGCUGGUUAGCCUAUGGCUGAUAUCAUUAGGAACAAUUAAUGUAAUUUAAGGUGACUGGGAUAAUGGAAAGUUGGAGAGAUCUUCAUUUUGUUGUGAAAUAAUUCUCCAAUGAUGAUAACCUUAAAUACAGAAAUGUCCUACAUCUCUGAAUGUGACCUCUUCGCUUAAAAGUUUUUUAUUUGCAUGGCUGUAUUUACAUUAAUAGGGACAUCUUCUACUCUUCUCCCUUCUUUCUUGGGGUAGGGUAGGAAACACUGAAGCAUGUGCCGUUCAAUACUGUCAUUCCAGAUACUCAAAUGUUUUGCUUGUUGUGAACAUGUUUGAAACUGCACUGAAAGCUGCAUCUGUCUGUAUCUUUACUUUUGUAAAUGGCUUCACAUGUAAAUUCACAAAAUAAAUACUACAUUC
rnacentral:lncRNA from 1 species